rnacentral:rRNA from 1 species
AGCGGGAAAAGCUCAAAUUUAAAAUCUGGCGGUCUUUGGCCGUCCGAGUUGUAGUCUGGAGAAGUGCUUUCCGCGCUGGACCGUGUAUAAGUCUCUUGGAACAGAGCGUCAUAGAGGGUGAGAAUCCCGUCUUUGACACGGACUACCAGUGCUUUGUGAUGCGCUCUCAAAGAGUCGAGUUGUUUGGGAAUGCAGCUCAAAAUGGGUGGUGAAUUCCAUCUAAAGCUAAAUAUUGGCGAGAGACCGAUAGCGAACAAGUACCGUGAGGGAAAGAUGAAAAGCACUUUGGAAAGAGAGUUAAACAGUACGUGAAAUUGCUGAAAGGGAAACGCUUGAAGUCAGUCGCGUUGUCCGGAACUCAGCCUUGCUUUUGCUUGGUGCACUUUCCGGAUGACGGGUCAGCAUCGAUUUUGACCGUCGGAAAAGGGCUGGAGUAAUGUGGCACCUCCGGGUGUGUUAUAGACUCUGGUCGCAUACGGCGGUUGGGAUCGAGGAACGCAGCGCGCCGCAAGGCAGGGGUUCGCCCACUUUCGCGCUUAGGAUGCUGGCAUAAUGGCUUAAACGACCCGUCUUGAAACACGGACCAAGGAGUCUAACAUACCUGCGAGUGUUUGGGUGGAAAACCCGAGCGCGUAAUGAAAGUGAAAGUUGAGAUCCCUGUCGUGGGGAGCAUCGACGCCCGGACCAGACGUUCUCUGRCGGAUCCGCGGUAGAGCAUGUAUGUUGGGACCCGAAAGAUGGUGAACUAUGCCUGAAUAGGGUGAAGCCAGAGGAAACUCUGGUGGAGGCUCGUAGCGAUUCUGACGUGCAAAUCGAUCGUCAAAUUUGGGUAUAGGGGCGAAA